rnacentral:lncRNA from 1 species
GUCCCGAACAGUUUUAAGCAUUAUUAAAUGUUGAGGUUAAAAAAAUCUGUUAAAACAUUUUAGGCAGCAAAGAGGCUGAAAGAUAUACUUGGUCACCAAAUGGGCUAACCAGUAUUCUGAAUUAUUCCGCAGACUUUUUGUACGAUAAAUACAGUAUACUAAUCUAAAUAUUAUUCUUAAUUUAUCGUACGGUAAGCGUCACAUGAUUUUAUGUGGGCAAUUUAAAAAUAAAAAAAAAAUAUGAUAGUAUUAGCAAUGUUUCAAUGAUUUUGCUAUAUCAAGUUCAUAUAAUGUUGUUUUAUUCCCGAGAUAUUUUUGUUUUGUUUUGAAAGAACACCGUCGCUCUUGGUUUUUUAUGGUUUCAGUCUAAAACAUGACAUUAACCUAACUAAACCCUAAGUGUACUUCCCAAUUUAUCAUCCUCAUCUUUGUUUUUCGUGAAAUAAUUGACAAGCUUCGCUAUUAGUAAAGCAUAAAUUUACUUGUCGGUAUUUUUACUUCGUGGAUACUGUUCCGACAUUCAAGGUACAACAUGUAUAUAUAAAUCGAAGAAGAAUGUGAGCAAUUACUAAGUUUUAUCAUAAUAUUUAAGUAAAUAAGAUUGACACUUCUUAGUACUAUUAUAUAGACCUACACGCUGAAUCUUUUUUUAUUUCUCCUUUGAACACCUUAUUCCAGAUUCUUGCGUGCUAAAAGAAUAAUUUGAGACUUGGAAAAUUAGAUUAAAACAAAAAUUAAAGUCUUUGGUUUGAUCUAAACAGAAGCUAAAACAUCUUCCAAAUAAGAGGCUAGCAGCCAAAUAUUAAUGGUGUUAUUUUAUUACAACAGCCCAUGUGCAUUUUGCUUUUACUCAAAGUCUAAAGUUGGCCAUCGCACUACAGCGUAACCACCA